rnacentral:rRNA from 1 species
CAGCAGCCACGGUAAUACGGAGGGAGCUAGCGUUAUUCGGAAUUACUGGGCGUAAAGCGCACGUAGGCGGCUUUGUAAGUUAGAGGUGAAAGCCUGGAGCUCAACUCCAGAACUGCCUUUAAGACUGCAUCGCUUGAAUCCUGGAGAGGUGAGUGGAAUUCCGAGUGUAGAGGUGAAAUUCGUAGAUAUUCGGAAGAACACCAGUGGCGAAGGCGGCUCACUGGACAGGUAUUGACGCUGAGGUGCGAAAGCGUGGGGAGCAAACAGGAUUAGAUACCCCCGUAGUCCCUGUCUCUUAUAC